UACGAAGGGGGCUAGCGUUGCUCGGAAUUAUUGGGCGUAAAGCGCGCGUAGGCGGCUUUGUAAGUCGGAUGUGAAAGCCCUCGGCUUAACCGAGGAAGUGCAUCCGAAACUGCAAGGCUUGAGUACCAAAGAGGAUCGCGGAAUUCCCGGUGUAGAGGUGAAAUUCGUAGAUAUCGGAAGGAACACCAGUGGCGAAGGCGUCUACCUGGCCUGAUACUGACACUGAGGCACGAAAGCGUGGGGAGCAAACAGGG
rnacentral:rRNA from 1 species